rnacentral:rRNA from 1 species
UACGAAGGGGGCUAGCGUUGCUCGGAAUCACUGGGCGUAAAGGGUGCGUAGGCGGGUCUUUAAGUCAGGGGUGAAAUCCUGGAGCUCAACUCCAGAACUGCCUUUGAUACUGAGGAUCUUGAGUACGGGAGAGGUGAGUGGAACUGCGAGUGUAGAGGUGAAAUUCGUAGAUAUUCGCAAGAACACCAGCGGCGAAGGCGGCUCACUGGCCCGUAACUGACGCUGAGGCACGAAAGCGUGGGGAGCAAACAGG